GGAUCCAAAUCCGACAUUUUAUUAGCAAAUGCUAAUAUAAUAAUAUAUAGAUAUCUGUAUACAUUCAAAAGUAAAAACAAAAUGUCAUAAUAGUAAAAUGUAUAAUUGGAAGAAAGUGUAAAACUUAUUUAUCGUAUGACAAUACAUAUCAAUAAAAUUACAUAUUCAUAUGACUUGCAAAUAUAAAUUAUAGGCUAGUAUGACUCACUAGUAUUAGAAGGCUCGGGUACAUGAUUUGCAUCUAAAACU
rnacentral:lncRNA from 1 species